GCCGAAGUGGCGGAACUGGCAGACGCGCGGGAUUCAAAAUCCCGUUCCCAUAACCGGGAGUGAGGGUUCAAGUCCCUCCUUCGGCA
rnacentral:tRNA from 1 species